CGUAGGGUGCGAGCGUUAAUCGGAAUUACUGGGCGUAAAGCGUGCGCAGGCGGUUUUGUAAGACAGGCGUGAAAUCCCCGGGCUCAACCUGGGAACUGCGCUUGUGACUGCAAGGCUAGAGUACGGCAGAGGGGGUGGAAUUCCACGUGUAGCAGUGAAAUGCGUAGAGAUGUGGAGGAACACCAAUGGCGAAGGCAGCCCCCUGGGUCGAUACUGACGCUCAUGCACGAAAGCGUGGGUAGCAAACAGGAUUAGAUACCCUGGUAGUCCACGCCCUAAACGAUGUCAACUAGGUGUUGGGUGGGCAAAACCAUUUAGUACCGGAGCUAACGCGUGAAGUUGACCGCCUGGGGAGUACGGCCGCAAGGUUA
rnacentral:rRNA from 1 species